rnacentral:lncRNA from 1 species
CUGAGGUCAUGGCACGAAUCACAGUGGGGCCUUGCCCGGGUCAGCAGCACCCAGAGUCAGGGUCCUCCGCUGCCUGAGGCGUCAACAUGCCUGCCUGCAACGUGUUUGUGCACGUGCGUGCACACGUGGCCUAGGGGAUGCCAAAUUCCAGGGUCCAGAAAGAGCUUGGGAUAAAAUGAAACUUCAAGGGGACGGCUUUGACCUGGGCUGAGUCUGUCUGUGCCAUCCAACUGGAGUCUCAAGUCCUGAGGCAGGACGUCCAGAUGCCCCAGUGCAGGGCCCUCCUGAUCAACACCUGCUCCCCUGUACUCAUUAGCAACCUCACCCACCCUACUCUCAAAGCACACUUGGCUCUCGUAUCCAGGAGCUCUGCAUCUAUAGGUUCAGCAACAGCAGAUGGAAAAUAUUCAGAAAAUAAAUUGGAUGGUUAUGUUUCUAUUGAACAUGUGCAGACUUUGUUCUUGUCAUCAUUCCCUAAA